UAGGGAAUCUUCCACAAUGGGCGAAAGCCUGAUGGAGCAACGCCGCGUGUGUGAUGAAGGGUUUCGGCUCGUAAAACACUGUUGUAAGAGAAGAAUGACAUUGAGAGUAACUGUUCAAUGUGUGACGGUAUCUUACCAGAAAGGAACGGCUAACUACGUGCCAA
rnacentral:rRNA from 1 species